UACGCAACAUACCCGCUACUGGGGCAUAGCCUUCUGAAAAGGAGAUUAACACCCCAUAAUAUCAGGCAGUGGCAUCACUAUUUGAUUAAAAAUUUAUUGGUAGCGGAUUGGCGUGCGUCCUAUUAGCUAGUUGGUAUGGGUAAUGGCCUACCAAGGCGACGAUAGGUAGCUGGUGUGAGAGCACGACCAGCCACACGGGCACUGAGACACGGGCCCG
rnacentral:rRNA from 1 species